rnacentral:rRNA from 1 species
AAGGAUCAUUAUUGAAUUAUAGGCGAGGGUUGUCGCUGGCCUCUCGGGGCAUGUGCACACCCGAGCCAUCCCCAACAAACACCGUGGGCCUUCGGGCCCGCGUAUAUUUACUCUGAAUGUGUAUAGAAUGUAAACCAUUUGUUUGCCCUGAAAAAGCAAACGAAAAAAAGUACAACUUUCAACAACGGAUCUCUUGGCUCUCGCAUCGAUGAAGAACGCAGCGAAAUGCGAUAAGUAAUGUGAAUUGCAGAUUUUCAGUGAAUCAUCGAAUCUUUGAACGCACCUUGCGCCCCUUGGUAUUCCGAGGGGCAUGCCUGUUUGAGUGUCAUUAAAUCCUCAACCGCGCCGAUUGAUUUCGGUGGGGCUUGGACUUUGGAGCGUGCUGGCGAAGGUCGGCUCCUCUUUAAAUGCAUCAGCGGAAGAAACCUUUGUCUUUCCUGCCUUCGGUGUGAUAAUCGUGUUGCGCCGUGGUGGAACUUCAACGAUCCGCUUACAAUGGUCUUCGGACGAAACCUCAUGUCAUCUUGACCUCAAAUCAGGUAGGACUACCCGCUGAACUUAA